AGCUUUGUCCCUCCUCCCUUUGGUUUGAGGUGCAAAAAUGCAAAACGAGAGGGGAAGGAUGCAGCCAGGCUCCCAGCCUUGAGAGACAACCAAAAUGUUACCCUCGGGCCUCAGGAAUAUUUCUGGUGAAGUCGGUGAAGUUACCUAUAUCUAAUUCUGGAUUAAUCCAUUGAAGGCAGCUAUGGACCACUCAGUGCACACGCGCUCUCCCGCGUCCCCAGACCCUGGCUGUGUUGGAGCACCUGCACUUCUCUGGAUGAAGACCUCUGCCACAGGCUCCAUCUGCAACGGCGAAGACCCAGUUGGACUCACCCAGUGCAAGGUGUAGCUCCUGCUCCCUCCUAGCCCUGCUGCAAUCGUUAUUGUUGCUUCUGGGUGCGCACCGGUUAUUUUGGCUUCCGCAGAGAAAAUGCAGAACUCCUGAGUCUGUCAGUGACUUCUGGAUCCUGGGUCAAGCAAAGCCUGUGAACAGCAGGAAGCACUUGCCUUUAGCCGUGGCAUUCUCUGAGGGGUAUGGACAGCACUGAAAUUGCCUGAGCAUCGUUGGUGACAUGCCUGUGGCUCGAGAACAUCUGUAACGGGGUCAGCUGAGAAGCAGAGAGAAGGAGCCUGUUUUCUGAUCAGGUCAGAUUUGUCAGAGAAGUUCUGAGAAGCAUCUGAAACUUGCACAGACGUCUAAACUGCACAUAGUUCUGGUCUAGCUCUGGAAUAUGUAUCAUUCACACUUAAAAACUGUUGCUCAGUGUUGGUGGACUCGUUGGCCAGCCCGCUCAAUGUAUGGCUCUGGAGGACAAGGUACCGUGACAAGCAGUGGAACUGACUGAAUGGCCCAGGUUUCGUGGGAAUUCCAGCGUGGAUCCGUUUGCUGUGCGUUCUCCUGCCUUGGACAGCCAACAAGUUGUGAGCAUGCGGCUCCUAAUCAGGGCUGGCAGGGCAGAUGGUUUAUCUUUGACUGCCUGAGAGUUCCUGCUCUGCAGAGAGAGGCAGACACUCGUUUUGAUUCCUUGUCGCAGGCUUUUCACUUUCCAGUCCAUUACAAGUGACACAGCCGGUAAAGAGCCUGUCUGUCAGUGUUGUCCCUGGAGGGGUGAAUCUUCGUCCCGCUCUGUACUCAUACCAGAGCUGUCUGCUCGCGCUUUUUCACAUCGUGCUGGGCACCAGGUGAGGAGGACUCUGCUGGGAGGCAGAUCACAGCUUCCCAGCCCUGCCAAGCCCUGUCCCACACAGCCUCUCCUGGCACUUCACAGGCAAUGGCAGCUCUAGAACAAACCUCUUCCCAAGUGGGGAUGUUGGUGCUUAAAAUAAAUCACUGCCUAUCAUUUUCUGAGUGGUCAGAAGACGACUUGUAAGGCUGUGCUGUGAAGAGCUCUAACCCACUGCUUGGGAAAGGAAUGUCCCAGCAGACAGCAUUGCUCUGGAUCCAUCACCCGUGAGAGAAAACAAGGAAACAAAAAUCUGACAGCUGCGGCCAGUUGUGAUCUGUUUUGUGCAGUCACAUAUGGGGCAUAUAUGGCUCCUUUAAUUUACAGAAAGUGCGCAUCCAUGAGCCGAUCAAGGUCAUACGCGCUUCUCGGUGGGAGCUGCUAUUCCUGUUUUGCAACAGGGAAAGAAAAGGGUAGAUCUGCACGGAAUUUGUCUGCAUUCAAUGGGGACCUUGCAGACGAAAUCCAAGGGGGUCUGCGUGGCAAAGUCUGUUCUGCCAGUGACUUGUCCGUGGCCAGCAGGGAUUGCGCAGCAGAGCGGGGAGAGAGUGUGGGGGCUUGCAUCCCAAACAUUGAUCUGAGCGGCUUGGACUGAAAUAACAUGUCUAGAUUUCAUCGCUAAUGAAUAAGUAUGCUACUGUUUGCUAGUCUGAGCCUCGCCUUUUUUCUUUCUAAUUUGAGCUGAACUUCUGUACC